CCUACGGGUGGCAGCAGUGAGGAAUAUUGGUCAAUGGGCGGAAGUCUGAACCAGCCAAGUAGCGUGCAGGAUGACGGCCCUACGGGUUGUAAACUGCUUUUAUACGGGAAUAACGCGCCUUACGUGUAGGGCUUUGCAUGUACCGUUUGAAUAAGGACCGGCUAAUGCCGUGCCAGCAGCCGCGGUAAUACGGAAGGUCCGGGCGUUAUCCGGAUUUAUGGGGUUUAAAGGGAGCGUAGGCCGCAUGUCAAGCGUGCUGUGAAAUGUCCGGGCUCAACCCGGGCCUUGCAGCGCGAACUGGCGUGCUGGAGUCCGCGGAAAGCAGGCGGAAGUCGUCGUGUAGCGGUGAAAUGCUUAGAUAUGACGAAGAACCCCGAUUGCGAAGGCAGCUUGCUGCAGCGGAACUGACGCUGAUGCUCGAAAGCGCGGGUAUCGAACAGGAUUAGAUACCCUUGUAGUC
rnacentral:rRNA from 1 species